rnacentral:piRNA from 1 species
AAAUAGAGCUGUGGGGAUUUUUUUU